GAUGAACGCUAGCUACAGGCUUAACACAUGCAAGUCGAGGGGCAUCAUGUCGGUUGCUUGCAACCGAUGAUGGCGACCGGCGAAUGGGUGAGUAACGCGUAUCCAACCUGCCCCCGGCCGGGGUAUAACCCGUCGAAAGGCGGCCUGAUCCCCCAUGUAGUCCUCUGAGGUCCUCCGAUGAGGAUGAAAGGUAUUUUUCCGGCCGGUCGAUGGGGAUGCGUCCGAUUAGCUUGCUGGCGGGGUAACGGCCCACCAGGGCUUCGAUCGGUAGGGGUUCUGAGAGGAAGGUCCCCCACACUGGUACUGAGACACGGACCAGACUCCUACGGGAGGCAGCAGUGAGGAAUAUUGGUCAAUGGGCGGAAGCCUGAACCAGCCAAGUAGCGUGCAGGAUGACGGCCCUAUGGGUUGUAAAUCUGCUUUU
rnacentral:rRNA from 1 species